UACAGAGGUCCCAAGCGUUGUUCGGAUUUACUGGGCGUAAAGGGUGCGUAGGUGGCGGGGUAAGUCUGGUGUGAAAGCUCCGAGCUUAACUCGGAAAAGCAUUGGAAACUAUCCCGCUGGAGGGUCGGAGGGGAGACUGGAAUUCUCGGUGUAGCAGUGAAAUGCGUAGAUAUCGAGAGGAACACCAGUGGCGAAGGCGAGUCUCUGGACGACUCCUGACGCUGAGGCACGAAAGCGUGGGUAGCAAACAGG
rnacentral:rRNA from 1 species